UACGGAGGGUGCGAGCGUUGUCCGGAAUCACUGGGCGUAAAGGGCGCGUAGGUGGCCUGUGGAAGUCUGCGGUGAAAGCCCGGCGCUCAACGCCGGGUCGGCCGUGGAUACUCUCGGGCUUGAGCUUACUAGAGGCAGAUGGAAUUCCGGGUGUAGCGGUGGAAUGCGCAGAUAUCAGGAGGAACACCGGUGGCGAAGGCGGGUCUCUGGGCAGUAACUGACGCUGAGGAGCGAAAGCGUGGGGAGCGAACAGG
rnacentral:rRNA from 1 species